UACGGGGGGGGGCAAGCGUUGUUCGGAAUUACUGGGCGUAAAGGGCGCGUAGGCGGCCUACUAAGUCGGACGUGAAAUCCCUCGGCUCAACCGAGGAACUGCGUCCGAUACUGGCAGGCUGGAAUCCGGGAGAGGGAUGUGGAAUUCCAGGUGUAGCGGUGAAAUGCGUAGAUAUCUGGAGGAACACCGGUGGCGAAGGCGGCAUCCUGGACCGGUAGUUGACGCUGAGGCGCGAAAGCUAGGGGAGCAAACGGG
rnacentral:rRNA from 1 species